GCGUUUUUUUAACUUUCAGUCUCCGUGUCGAUCUCUUUUCUAUUAUCUACAUGUAAUGAGAUUUUUGAAAGUAUAGAAGUACAGUCUAUGGUGCGAAGCUAAGUUGAAAACAUUAAAUCCUUUAGUGCAUCAUCAAUUCUUCUGCCGAUCAGUACACGUCGCUGUUAGAAAUUUAAAAGAUAUAUGUGUUCCAAAGUAUUUUGGAAAUUAGGAAAUGAAGAGAAAACACUAAGUGAAAAUACGACACUGGAACCAAUGUUUACUAUCGAUGUGAUAAUUUAUAUCAACUGAUGUAUUACAAGUGUCAGAACAAAAAUGUCUCUAUUUUAACUCACCGUAAGUUAUUAAUUUUGAAAUACAUUGAUUGCGCGUUCCAUUUCAUCAAAAUAAUAUUUCAGCUCUUUAAUUUUUUUAUUAUUCUUCCGAUUUUUAUUUUGGUUUCUCGCAACUUGCUUUGGAAAACGUAUCGCAUAGCAAUGAGUAAUAUGUACCAAGUAAUUGGACAUCUCUUUUGCUCCCGCAGAAUUCAUGGUAGCCUACCAACGAAAUCAGCUGCUUUUUCGUACUGUUUUUGUUGCAUUUAUUUUUUGCCAUUUACUUACUUGGGUGUAAUGUUGUCAUCGAUAAGAUUGCAUACAUAUCUUUGCAUAAAUAUUUGGCAUGGUAUAAAAUAAUGAGACUCAAUUAUUUUAAUUCUGAAUAUUUCAAUUUAUUUACAGCGUUAUAAAGAAAUAGAAAAAAUAAAAUUUUUGCAAGCUCAUCUAAUAUAAACUCUUUUAACUCUGAGUUACUAACUUUCUGUAGACACUAAGCACACAUAAACCUUGAAAAGGAAAAUAUAAUAUACAUAUUUAUUGUAGUGGUUAUC